rnacentral:rRNA from 1 species
UACGGAGGGUGCGAGCGUUGUCCGGAAUCAUUGGGCGGAAAGGGCGCGUAGGUGGCCCGGUAAGCGUGUGGUGAAAGCUCGGGGCUCAACCCUGAGUCGGCCAUGCGAACUGCUGGGCUUGAGCACUGUAGAGGCAGGCGGAAUUCCGGGUGUAGCGGUGGAAUGCGUAGAGAUCCGGAAGAACACCGGUGGCGAAGGCGGCCUGCUGGGCAGUAGCUGACACUGAGACGCGAAAGCGUGGGGAGCGAACAGG